AGAGUUUGAUCCUGGCUCAGGAUGAACGCUGGCGGCGUGCCUAAUACAUGCAAGUAGAACGCUGAAGCUUGGUGCUUGCACCGAGUGGAUGAGUUGCGAACGGGUGAGUAACGCGUAGGUGACCUGCCUGGUAGCGGGGGAUAACUAUUGGAAACGAUAGCUAAUACCGCAUAAUAUUGAUUAUUGCAUGAUAGUCAAUUAAAAGGUGCAACUGCACCACUACCAGAUGGACCUGCGUUGUAUUAGCUAGUUGGUGGGGUAACGGCUCACCAAGGCGACGAUACAUAGCCGACCUGAGAGGGUGAUCGGCCACACUGGGACUGAGACACGGCCCAGACUCCUACGGGAGGCAGCAGUAGGGAAUCUUCGGCAAUGGACGGAAGUCUGACCGAGCAACGCCGCGUGAGUGAAGAAGGUUUUCGGAUCGUAAAGCUCUGUUGUAAGAGAAGAACGAGUGUGAGAGUGGAAAGUUCACACUGUGACGGUAUCUUACCAGAAAGGGACGGCUAACUACGUGCCAGCAGCCGCGGU
rnacentral:rRNA from 1 species